GCUGCACAGCAGGCCCGCUGCACCCCUCCACCAAAUUUUUUCCCCUCCUCGUUCGCUCCUCCUCCUCCCCGCAUGUAAUGCCGUCGCGCCGCCGCAUCCUCGCCGGAGCCGCCGGCUCCGCUACUGUCCACACCGGCUGCCGCAGCCGGAUCCUGCUUCUUCCCCACCGCCGCGGCCGGAGCCGACCUCGGUCCCAUCCGCCGCUGCCGGCGUUGAGGUCGGCCCCUUCCGCUGCCACCGCCACCGCCGCCAUGCACUCCACCGCUGGCUGGCGCCGAGGUCGUCCCUCUUCCUCAUCGGCCGAGCCGACGUCCUCCAGUCCCCAUCCGCCGCCGCCGAACUCCACCGAUGCCGCAGAUUGGUGGUCAAUUACUCUCCUGCUCGGCUGCUCCAGCCAUGGACAACGUCGGCGCCUCAAGGAAACCAACAAUGCUUACUACAAGGGAAUAUCUUGUGCUCUUUAUCCAGUAUGCAGAGAUAAGGGAGGUUCAAUGGAGAUGAUGAAAACAAGGUGCUUGAUAUCAUGACGCUAUUUGACAAGUGCAACACCUUUAAUAUUUGCAAUUUUCUUUCUGCUUCUAUCUAAAAUUAUGUACAUAUUCUACUAUUGAAGUGGUUCUCAUCCAUUAACAUAACAGAGAUAUGGUCCCAUUUUGCAAGAGUGUAUGACAUUUUUAUGUAGCACUGAAACAAUUUAAGAUUAUUAACAAAUAUUAAGUUUCCAUACCAAAUAAUAUUAUACUUCUCAAGCUUUGUGCACACAUUCCUAUUAAUAUUGCAAUGUGACUGCAUAGCUGAAAAUGCAGGAAUUGCAAAUAAAUUUUAUUGAAUUGUCAAAAUAGCAAAUGGCUCCAAUAUUACCAAUUUGGGGCCACUUUAAAGAAGAGGGGCGAAGAAGAUAUGGAAGUUAGAAGGUGAGCUUGCUUCAUUAGAAUAUCAUUUGCGUAUUUCUCGAAUAAAAUAUAAAAUAUUUUGCUUGAUUAUUUCCAGUAUGCACUCCUGAAGUAAUUCAUGGUCUUUGUAUUUUUCUAAUGGAUGUAUACUUGGUAUUUUCUGUUUUUGGUGCAAAUGGGUGAGCAAACAUGGAUGGUGAUGGUGUUCUGACGUCCAAAUGUGAAACCAGCCAAGGAUGUCCAGAAGCAAUGCUAGGCUUAAUUAGUGCGAUUAUCAUGGUGUGCCAGAUGAGGCUGAGUUCUUGAGUUUAUAGCCUGCAGUGAUGUUUUUUAAAACUAAUUCACUGCUGCACAUCACUGUUAUCCUGAAUUGCUGAACUACGUCUCUGUGGCAUCAGAGCAUCCGAAAUUCUUGCCUUGCUACAUGCUACUAUGAUUAAUCAGGGUCAAUUUUUCUGCCAUACAUAUUCAUUUGAGCAGUUUUUUGUUCUGUUCAUCAGUGGAUGAAAAAAAGUCAAUGCCAUGCAUGUUAAUAUAGGGGAAUACAAAAAUCCACCUCAGUUGCUUUCACUCAAUCAGGUAGUCUACUCGAAUCUUUUGUUAUUAUUUGACUCCAACCAAAUUUAAUUAUAUCUCUUUUGUGUUUGGAAAAAUGUGUCUAAUUGAGUUCGAGCAUGGGAUCAGAGUAGAAUUAAAUGAAUAAUCAAAAUUUGAAUUCAAAAGAUAAAUGAAAAUAAUGCUAAUACGAUUAAUCAAAAUUCUAAAAAUGAACUAAUUGAGGAUUAUAGAUUAUAUCUUGGUAAAUAUAUGGAGGCAUUGUAAGAGACCCUACAGAGCAUAUCAGUUGAAAUAGACAUGCAGAUUACCUUGUGAUGUGCCCAUUCUCCAUGUUAAUCUGGUACAUCUUCAUCAAUUUUGUCACGAGUUACAUGAUGAAUUGAUUCAAUAAUUGAUAUUUUAUAUUUUCAGCUUGGCAGCCUGUAGAUCUUUUGGACCAAAAGGGCAGGCCUCUUCCCCAAGGUGAAGCACUUUGUAGCUACAAUAUGCGAGUGCUCAGCCUAUACACCAUAUCCUUGUACGACUAUGUUGAGAGUUUUAUUCUCCAUUGAGGUAAAGUAUGCUCAAAAGUUUCGUUAAAAUAUAUUCAGUUUAGUGAUUUUGUUCAUGAACUAACUCUAUCGUGAACUCAUUUCUCGAAAAUUUUGGAUCUUUUAUUAGCAAAGCUAUGGACUGCAGUGGGUUUUGGCCAGAGCUCCAAUCCCUGCAAAUCACAAAUGCUGUAAUAUUUUGCAAAAUUAUGUACUCCAGUUCUAUUGUAAUUGUGUAAAACCAACAAAUUCUUAGUUUUGUCAGUUAUUAAAACACAUAGAUGCAUAUUGUGUCA